UCUAAAGGAGAGGCUACCAAAACACUAGGUACUAUGGUAUACACAAACCUCUACAGGAGAGGCUACCAAAACACUAGGUACUAUGGUAUACACAUACCUCUACAGGAGAGACUACCAAAACACUAGGUACUAUGGUAUACACAUACCUCUACAGGAGAGGCUACCAAAACACUAGGUACUAUGGUAUACACAUACCUCUACAGGAGAGACUACCAAAACACUAGGUACUAUGGUAUACACAUACCUCUACAGGAGAGGCUACCAAAACACUAGGUACUAUGGUAUACACCUACCUCUACAGGAGAGGCUACCAAAACACUAGGUACUAUGGUAUACACCUACCUCUACAGGAGAGGCUACCAAAACACUAGGUACUAUGGUAUACACAUACCUCUACAGGAGAGACUACCAAAACACUAGGUACUAUG